GUUCACUUGGAAAUGUGAAGGAGGCAAGUACUACGCACUUAUCAUUCAAAAUCAGGAUUAUGAGGGCGCCACAUUUAUCCAUAAAGCACUCGUUGUUGAGGCCAAAGGUGAAACCAAACUCCUCUGGCACAGGAAUUAAUCAAGCACUACUAUUGAUCAGCUGAGGAUAAACGACUUUCUUUGGGUACUUAAAUUAUCUAGUGUCUAUAUAUGGUGUGGGUUUUCAGUUUGUGCAUGGAUGAUGUACUGCUACCAACAAAAUGCACCAUUCCGUCUAUUUUUUUAAUUUGUAUCCUUGUAAUAACCUGUAAAACGAACAAAAGUGUAGCAUUAAAUGAAUAAAAACAAUCGUCUGUUUUUGAGUUUUAUCUGUAUAUUUUGUUUCUCUGUUACUUCCAAGCAAGUUCCGAUCCCGGAAUUUGUAUGUCAACUACGUACUAUGUUCAUGACUAGUUAUAAAGUUUUACUGGUUAAGUAAUAAAGCCUAUAAAAGAUUAAUUGAUAUAUUGAGAAUACGAAAUGCGGAAAAGUUUUAAGUUUUUUCAAGUGGUACUCGUUCUUCUUUGAAGCAUAUUUUGGAUGUUCUUCAUAAGUACGAAAACUGUUCAGGCCAGCAAGUUAACAUAAGCAAUAGUUGUUUCUUGACCCGUCAACGGUUUAACGUGGCACGACGACGAAUAAACACAAGUGUUACGGGGUUUUCUUGUCAAGUUUUUGGGUUGUCCGUAGGAAAAUUUCCUUUUUUCGACAUCAUUUCAGGCCAUUGCGGCUCAGAUUCUCUCUUGGAAGAGUAAAUUCCUUUCUCAUGGUGGCAAGCUGCUCUGGAUCAAGCACAUGCUUUCAUCCACUCCUAUUCAUGUCCUAGCUGCUGCCAAUCCUCCUAAAUCUGUUUUUAAUACGAUAGAAUCUAUUUGUGGUAGAUUUUUUCUGGGGUUCGUCAGAGGAGCAAAGGAACAUGCGGGUUUCUAUCUCGGAAUGGUCCUAGCUAGUUCAUUGAUCCAGGUCCCAGAGUAGAGCUCUCUGGUCCUGCCAUCACCAAACUAAGAACAUGUUUCCUUGAAACGCCCAUAGAGAAUGCUUUCUAGGACCAACCAAAAAUGAUAGUAAUAACAGUAAAUGUACCUCCAUUUAGCCAUAAAACACGAGGCUUGUUAGAAGGAUUUUCGGACUCCGCAAAAUAGCAGAAGAGAGCUUUACCAGUCUUCGGAUCAACAGUAACAUACCCUGAAUAUUGAUCAAACUUUAACCCUUUUGGUUGCCUCGGCAACGCUAUUACUUUGUCAGCCGCCUUCCAAACCCUCUUGAGGACCAAUAUAUAUAUUGGCGUGUUCUCAUGUCCUGAAUCCUCAUCAUUUACGUAAUUGUCUACUUGAGGGGCGUCGAAACCACCAAAAAUAAAAUUCGUACUCCAAAAAGAUAUGCUUUUGAGUACAAUGGUGAGUGGAGUCAAAAACUAAUAAUGUAAAAUUAAAUAAAAAUAAUUCAAUAAAAGAUAAAUCUCUGGUCAAAAAUCUAACACCACUUUGGUUCAAUUAACUAAUCAUUGAUGCAUGGAUAAAAUCAUUUAUUUAUAAAUAAAUUAGUUAUGGUUGUCAACAAAUUUUAAGAACCUGCCUACCUCUCCUUGCUACCCUCGAUAACCACAACAAAUUUUGUGAUUAUUACUCUUGCCAAUUAAACAACCCUAGACAAACUUUUAGGAUUUAACAUAUUGACAAUAUUAAUUAUUACAAAAGCUACCCAUUUGAUAACAUUAAUUAUUACAAAAGUUCCCAGUUCUAACCAAUAAACACAUAAGUUCCGUUUAUUUAGAUUCGAUUAUAUAUUUUCGUGACCUAUAUUUGAAAAUUUUUACUACAAUCAAAUUAUAUCGCUUGCCAUAAAUACUAAAACCAUCAAAUAAUCAUAGAUUUGAUGAUUUAGAUGCAAUAUAGUGUUUCAAUAAUUAAAUAAUGGCCAAUUAUUUAAUCAUAUAAAAUAAUCAUAUCAGGAACUUGAGAAGUUCGGUAAAAUUUUCAUUCCCUCAAAGGUUCAAGCCAAAUAAAUUUGAUAGGGAUUUUGAGAAGUUUGCUAAAAUUUUUAAGCAAUUGCGUAUUAAUAUCCUUUUUGCCGAUGUUAUUUUCAGAUUCCUUCGUAUGAAAAAUUUCUCAAGGAGAUCAUGAUUCGAAAGAGAAAAUUGGAGGAUUGUGAAGCAAUAGCAUUAACGGAGAAGUGCAGUGCCAUCAUACAAAAUAAGCUACCACCAAAAUUGAAGGAUCCAGGGAAUUUCUUUAUAUCAUGCAUGUGAGGACCAGAAAAUUUUUUUUUUUUAAAUUUUCUCCUAUUUUUGAAAAAAAUUAAUUUAUAUUUCCUUUUAUUUUACUUUACUUGCUUAUUUGCUAGUCUUAAUUUGAUAGUGAUUUUAAAGGUUAAGUUAAAAUUUUUCUUUUUUCCCUUUUUAUAAUCUUGAUGCAUGUUAAAUUUCAUAAAGUAUUAUGGUAGUUUAACCGACUAGUGAGAUGUGCACAUUAUAUUUGGUGGACGAGAAUAGUGUGGUGCUAGAGGAAUUAUGUGAUUAGAAGUGUUAAGAAUGUAUUAGAAGAACACAAGAUAGAUUGGUUAUUAGAGAAACAUAAGAGAGACAAAAGGAUAGACAUGAAACCAAGCCUCGACAAGUGUCGUGCAUCCAUGACGUCUUGACCAAGACUUGGACCAAGAGAAGUCUUGUGUUUAUCUUCCAAAAUUGACUCAAAAACCUUCACUUUCUUCUUCAUUGUGGCCGAACUUAAGGAGAGAGAGAAGAGAGCAAACUUUCAAAAAUCCUCUUGAUUUCCUUGCUUAAUUUGUGAAAAAAUCCAUGAUCAACCCUAAUUUACUCCAUAAAACCUUGAGUUAAUCUUGGAAUGAAACUUUUGGUGGAAUCAUUUGAGGAAAAAAGUUCUUAUCUUACAAUUUAUCGUGGGAUUUUGAGGUAUUAUACUAAGAACCUCUCUUUUUCCUUCUUAUUUUGCCAUUUAAGCAACAUAUAACUUGAUUAGGAUGGAUUUCAUAGAAGAAUUCAUGGUUUUGCUUAAUAGGUUGCAAUUUUCAGCUUUGGAAUAUGUUGUUCAGCCGUGAUAUGAAUGGUUUAGCUUUGAUAUGAGGUUGGAUAUGAAAUUUUAGCUUUGAUAUGAGGUUAUCUAGCUUCAAUAUUCGAAUUUCCAGCUUUGGUGUUAAUUUCCAGCUUUGAUUUUGUAUUUUCCAGCCUUGAGUUGAGAGUUUCCAGCUUUGAUGUGGACUUAUGAGUUUGGAUAUGAAGAUAUCUAACUUGAACAUGCACUUCUAGCUUUGUUAUAUGAUUUUUCUAGCUUUAAUGGUCAAUUUCCAGCUUUGAGAUGAAAAUUUUCUGCUUUGGUGUAAGUGAUUUGGAGCUUGAUAUAUAUCUUCAAAGUUGAUAGUUUUGUGGCCUAAAGUAUGCACUAUUUGUCCCCUAUAAUAUGUGGCCUUGAUUGAGGUUCAUUUACCAUGAAACUAGGAUUUGAAUGGAUGGUUAACUUGAAGAAAUUUGGGGACAUAUUGCUGGAUUUUCUUUUUGUUGGUCAUUUUGGGGACCUAAAUUUGGGGACAUAAAUUUAGGGCAUUUUUGUUUUCCUCUUGCAUAUGAUUUUACUCAAAACACUUGCUACAAUCUAUUUCUUUGCAUGUGCGUUAGUUUUGAGCCAAGACAAGAGGUUUAAAUGAAAGGAAAUGAGUUUUAUUAAAUCAUUUUCUAGUUGGACAAAUCCCAACUUGGCACCUUGAAAGUCUUGACAUAAUUUCCUCAAACUUUUGACUAUAAUCGAUGCUUGUGUGCUCCAAAUGACUCUUGAAACAUGGAUUUAGUAUGCACACGAGGUUUUCCCCUUAAUUUGAGCAAGAAAAUGUUAAAUUUUUUAGUAGUUAUACGGGGAUAAAACUUGUGAACUAGUGUAUUUUCUAAAUGAAGUUUUGAACCCUCAAUUUCUUCAUUGUAUUUUGACUUUGUUUACUAGUCUUUUAAUAUAGUGUAUGACUAUAGGACUCGAAUGUUAAAUGGAUUUUCAAUAGGUGAGUGUGUACUUUAUCACACUUGACCCAAAGUGAAAGUGGAUUUUCAAUGAUUGAAUGUUAUUUGUGCAUGAAUGUAAGCCUUUGACUGAAUUAGGCCCUUGCCCUUCAUUGCCAGUCGACUCGAGCCAGAAGCAGACUCGGUCGGGUGGCUAGUGACCCUAGGACAGUGUUUGGUAUACUCAAGUAUGAUCACGAAGUUGGAUGGAGUCCUAGCCAGUGAAUGCAAUGCAAUGAUUGAAAUGAAUGAUUGAAUGAAAUGAACACUGAAGGAGUUUUCACUUUCAAAUAUUUUUGAAUAUUGGAGGGAUAAGGGAAAUGGAUGACGAAUGAAUGACUGAAUGAAUGGCUCAAGUGAGUAGUAUCCUUUCAAUGAUUGUUUCUUGAAUAACUAUUUAUUAUCGUGCAAAGUGUAUAAUUGUCAAUUGUAGCAUUUCUGUGCUUUAUCUACCUAACUGCUUGUUUGGGAACUUCACUGGGUUUUUUGCUCAUUCUAUUAGUUUGUUUUUCUUUUAGGAGUGGAGGCCGGAGCAAGUAAGCGUGAACUAGUGUAUAUCAUCUUCAUGUACUAGUGUGUAUAAUUUUCAUGUACUAGUGUGUAGAUGAAAUGUAUUUGGGAUAUUUAGUAAUGUAAUCCUAUAUUUCACUUUUAGAUUGUAAAUUAAGUGAGAAUUAUUAGUUGAAUUGGGAACUUUUAUGUUAAUCUAGAGACGUGAAAGACUAUUUCAAGAAUGUUAGUGAGUGAGUCCUGAUGAGAGUGAGACAGGCGGUCCGCCCAACUCUUGGAUUCGUCCUAGGGAGAGGUGGAGUCGUCACAAUGCACUAUUGAUAACAUUGAUUUUUUUAAAGUAUUAUGUAACCUUGGUGCUAGUGUAUCAGUAAUUCCUUUAAGAGUGGUUAGACAAUUAGAUUUACAUGAGUUUAAAAGUACUAAUAUUACUUUGCAGUUAACUGAUAGGUCUAUUAAAUAUCUAUUGAAAGUGUUGGAGAAUGUAUUAAUUAAAGUAUAAAAGUUAUCGUCUUUAUGAAUUUUGAGGUAUUAGAUAUGAAAAAAAAAUGUCUAUAUCAAUUAUUCUUGGUAGACCAUUUUUAGCAGUUGCAGGUACUAUUAAUGAUGUUAAAAAUGACAAAUUUAAGUUUCAAAUAUGUAAAGAAGAGGUAGAAUUUAAUUUGAAUGAAAUAAAAAAAAUACCAUUUUUUUACUGAUCAUACUUGUUCUAUUGGCACAAUUGAUAAGUUAGUCAAAGAGUUGAGUCGAGUGAACUGUGAUUUCGACCCUUUUGAGAUUUGUUUGAUGAGUUUAAAAAUGCAAGAGGGAGACUGUGAAGAAAUUAAAGAAUUGGCUAAAUAUUUAGAUUUUCAAACAGCUUAUAAAUGGGAUAAUGUUUAUGAAAAUCUUGAUCAAAGAAAAGAGCCCCCACUAUCCUCAGAGAUUGAAGUUCCAAAAUUAGAACUCAAGUCGCUCCCAAAUCAUUUAUGGUAUGAGUUUUUUGGAGAAAAUAGCACUCUACCGAUAAUUAUUAGUGCUCACUUAGAUGAAGAACAAUGUACAAAAUUGUUAAGGAUUCUAAGAAAACACAAGAAGUCAGUUGGACAGACAAUUUCGGAUAUCAAAGAUACAAGUCAUUAUAUAUGCAUGCACCGCAUAUUAUUAGAAAAAAAUCACACACUGGUGGUGGAAAUGCAAAGAAGGCUCAAUCCAAAUAUGAAAGAGAUGUAAGAAAUAAAAUUCUCAAACGGCUUGAUUCAGGUAUAAUCUUUUUUUUCUCUAAUAGUAUUUGGAUAAGUCCAAAUCAUAUUGUCCCUAAAAAGGAUGGAAACACUGUAGUCAUAGGUAAAAAUGAUAAAAUGAUUCCAUCUCAAUUCAUGAAUUGGUGGAGAGUGUGUAUAGAUUAUAGAAAAUUAAAUGUAGUUUCUAGAAAAAAUCACUUUUCCGUACCCUUUUUUGACCAAUUAUUUGAGCGAAUAGCCGGUUAUGAAUUUUACUGUUUUUCUAAUGACUUUUCAGAUUAUAACCAAAUAGCUAUAAUUUCCAAGGAUCAAGAGAAUACCACAUUUACUUACCCUUAUGGUACCUUUGCCUUUAGAAAGAUGCCAUUUGAUCUAUGUAAAAUCCCUGCUACGUUUCAACGUUACAUGGUGGCCAUAGUUUCUAAUUACAUUAAGAAAAUUAUGGAGAUAUUUAUGGAUGAUUUUUUGGUAUUUGGUUCAUCUUUUGGUCAUUAUAUUCAUAAUUUAGAUUUGAUUUUACAGAGAUGUGAGGAGACAAAUCUUGUGCUAAAUUAGGAGAAAUGCUAUUUUAUGGUUCGAGAAAAAAUUGUCAGAAUCAGAUAAAGAUAAUAAUGACGAAAUUGUAACCAAACCCGUGAUAGUAGAUCCCUACGAAACAUAUAAACUACCAAAUCUGCAAACUUUUAUUACAAUAAGAGCGCCUUUAGAAACCUUCAUAACGUUAUUUUUAGUUGUGUAUGUGCACCCAAGAAUCUCCAGAGUGUCCAAAGAAAUGAGAUUCUUUUUCAAAUCAAGAACAUGUCUAAUAUUAGUGAGCGUUCUCAAAACACCAUCAUGUAUUUUAAUUCAAACUGUACCCUUACCAACAACAUCACAAAUGACAUUAUUGCCCAUGAAAACAAUUCCACCAUCACAAGAUUCAUAAGUGAAAAAUAAAUCCCCAUUGGGACAUAUGUGAUAAGAGUACCCCGAAUCUAAAAUUCAUUCAUUUUUAAACCUUGUCCUAUCAUCAGUCACAAAAUAUUUAUUUUAUUCUCAUCAACUGCAGCACAAGUUUCGACAGUUUAGGUACUUUUUUUCACUAGGUUUCCCCUUUUACUUUAAUCUUUUCAAUUUAAAGUAAUUUGCAUUAAUGUGUCUCAUUUUGUGAUAAUAAUUGCAUUCUAAAUUUUUGUGUCUGGGUUUAGAUCUAAAUUUAGAUCUAUUACUGUCAAAUGUUUUUUAUUGGUUCUGCCCCUAACAACCAGACUUUCCCCAUGAUUCCCAAAUUUCUUCAAUAAUAUCCUUGUCUACCUGUUCCUUAGAUUUUAAUGCAAAUUUAAUUUUACGAUACGAAAUUGUUUCUUUUCCAUAAAUCAUAGUAUUGUAAAAAUAUUUAAAAGUGGGAAAGGAAAUACAAAAGUAGCAACGCCUAAUUUUUAACAUCAAUUUCAAAUCUAUAUUCUCCAAAUUCAUAAUAAUUGAAUCAAAUUUAUCAAGAUGUGAGAGUAUAGAUGUACUUUCAGUCAUGCGAAACAUAUACAAACUUUGUUUUAAAUAAAACCGAUUCUCAACUGUUUUCUUCAUGUACAAAGCCUUAAACUUAUCCCACGUGUCCUUUACCGAAAUUUCAGUGGUUAUCUCCCGCAAAACCUCAUCAAAGAGAUUUAAGAUAAUACUGGAUCUUGCCUUCUUAUCUAUUUUAGCAAAAUUUGUAUCUGUCACACUCUUUGACUUUUUAUCAAUUUCUUGUAUUUCUAAAUCAAUUCCGUCUUGAACCAAAAUGCUCUCUAUCUUGAGCUGUCGUAUCCCAAAAUUGACAUUCCUGUCAAAUUUUUUGACAAUAAUCUUUGUUAUUAUCAUUGUUGCCACAAAAUUUAAACCUUCCGAAGAAGUUUUGAUAUUAGUUUGUUAGGUCUGGAUCCAGAAAAUUGACUAUAGGAUUUUUGGCAAUUCUAAAAGACAAAUAACAAAGAAAAAUAAAUAAAACAGGAAUACAGAAAAUUUAUAUGAUUCGGUCAAAUAGAUCUACGUUCACGGGUGGAGCAAGAACAAAAUUUUACUAUGAAUAACAUAUUACAAAAAUGUUUUAGACAAGCAUUUUUAAAUCCAAAACACCUAAUACUUGAAACACAAAAGAACCCAAAAAUAUUUUAUUAAACAAAAAGAUUUAAUGAUUCAAAGGCCCAAAAUAACUCACUAAAACUCUCUUAAUUUGAUGCAUCUAAUUCCAUCACAGGUUCAUUAUAUUUAUAGGCAGUUAAAGGAAAGACUCCCUUGUACAAAAGACAGUUGGAACAAAGUCACUUUAACAUUUUUUUUUUUUUAUCAAAAAUGCAGAAUUGGCAACAACAAUAAUUACAGUCACGCUUUGUACUUUCUUACCUGCCCUUACUGUACAUUUUUCUACAAUGCAUGUUUGACGGUUGACAUUUUUUUUUUCAACAAAAUAGCAUUUUAUCGAUCUGAGCAAAGCCGUACAGAAUGUACUUAUUCCCUCAAACAUAUCAAACGUGUAAAACCUUAUCACUGCUGAUAGGACGUUAAUUGUUAGUAAUUUUAUAGCUAUUUUUCCCCUUUAUUCUUGUUAAAUAUAUUUUUAAUUGUUAACAUAUACUUAUUUUUGGUAUUUGGACCUAUCUACAGAAAGUGAAACUGACAAUUGCUAAAAAGGGGAUUUUAUUGAGAAAAAUCCUCCACAUGCUAGAGCCUCCAGCGGAUAUACAUGUUAGGCCCACAUGGUGCUACAAAAAUUCCAUUUUCGGUUGCUGAUUAGGAGUUGAAGUCUUUGAGAAGCAAGAGGAAACGAAGAGAGCAAAAUUCGACGGAGCUUACUUUUGGGAAUUGGACUCUCAAUUUGUUCGGGGACCACGGAGAUAAGAGGCACUAGCCAUUGUUUUAAGAAGAAAGAACGUACAGAGGGUCGAGGGCAAUAGUUUUAGGAUAGUUUUUAGAGCUUAGUUUUUAGGAUAGUUUUUAGUUUUCUUUCUUUUCUUGUCAGGCGCACGUUUACUGUUCGACAAUAUUUUCUAAAGGGAAAAACAUCUUUUAUUUCUCGUUUCUUAGUGAACAACUUGAUGCCUUUGCAAUCAAUUAAUUUGCGUGGAGAUUUAUUUAUGCGGCGUGGUUAAGCAUUUCAUCUAGUCAAGGAUCAACUCGACGGCGCAGUCCCGAAUACCUGUGAGAUUUAAUUAGUUUUCACGCGUUCCUUAAUUUGUUAAUAUUUGCACAUUGUCUAUUUGAAUUUUCGUGGGAUUAUUUUGUUAAUUGGAUAUCAAGGCCCCGAUGUUCAAUGUAACUUAUUAAUCUCUUGCCAAUUUAGUCAAUUAAAUCUGUAAUUGUUUGAUUGAUUAAUAUUAGAGGCAACUGGCGUGUUUACAUACUAGGGGAACGUGCAAUCUAAUUUAAAUAACCCUCGUAGCGUGUUAUUGAUUGGGGUUAGAUUUUUCUAGUUAUUAAUGCAAUUGGGAAAUUAAUUCCUACAGUCGUAUCUAGGAGUAUUUUCUGAUUAGGGGUAAUCAAUGGUCAUACCUUAGUUAUCAAUAAAUUAAGAAAAAAUUGGUCGUUAGAGUUCGUCGGCGACUAUAACUAACCUAUUAAUAAAUUAAGUGAACCUCUCUUGCAUCAAUGAUCGGAUAAAUGGACUGUGUCUGAGUAGUUGUAUCCUUAGUUAGAAUUUAUCUAUUCUUGAUUUAAUUCCUGCUAUAUUCGUACUAGUUAAUUAUUUAUUUUUAGUUGAAUUGCUUAAUUGUUUUUAGUUUCAUUCCGAUAAAAUCCCCCUUUACCAAUUGGAAUUUCAAAGAGACAAAUAUUCCCAGUCCCUGAGGAGACGACCCUGUUUGCCAUUGUCUACUAUUUAGUAAUUUCUUGUCAACUAAUUAAUUCUGAUAUAUCGGAUUAAACAAACUCUUCGAGAUCAGGGUGAAUCAAAUAACAGAUUGCACACCUAGAGUCACUGCUCCAAUACCUAGAAUUAAUUAUUGACUGCUUUUAGUAGUAUUUAGGUUCUAUUUUUAUUAUUGCACAGGCUCAACACCUGUCAACGACGUCAUCUGAAACAUAUUUGACCCGUAAAACAUAAUAAACGAUGUCCCAAAAGAAUUAUCCCCACAUAACGAGAGCAAAAUUUCACCCAUUAUAAAACUACUUUCGACGGGGAUUUUUGGUCAGAAUGUAUUAUAGAAAUUUAUAAUUUACAAUACCAGGUCAAUUUUAUCUUAAAAAUUAUGAGGACUAUUGUCAUCCAAUUGACGUUGACUAACUGCCUGCAGUCACAAACUUACAACAGAUACCAAAUCACAAACUUGAUCACAAUAGUCCAGUCACAAACUUGACCACAGAUACUUGUUUUUUUUAUUAGAGAACGUGGGGAACGUGAGGAGCAAACCAUGUCGAAAUCAAAAUAACACAAUACUAAAUCAAUUUCAUUGGGCGAAGCAACCUCUUAACUACUGUUCUUUCUGGGAAUCAAGAUUUUAAAAGUCAACAUAUCCUCGAAUUCUUGGAUAAGAUCAACAGUAUUGGUCAUCACCCUUCCGUGUAUGCUUUCUCAUCUAUGUUUCUACUAACCUCAUUUUCGUUCCUCUGUGAUGACAAGCUGUUCUGGAAAUAAUAAUCAUUUGACCACAUGAUUAAAAAUCACUAAUGCAUUGCCAUAUAAAGUGAUCUCUCACCAUCUUACCUUCGUUUGAUAAUUACAUUUUAUUUCCUAACCAUUCUAAUUUGUAAUUCGAUUUGACUAAUGAGUAUUCAAUGGACAUUCGUUAAAAAAAAUUCAUAUUAGUUUUUUGAAAAAAAUAUAGUUUAUUUGUAAAAGUGUAGCAAUUCGAGAUGUGUAAUAUAAGUGAGUAUGCGUAUUUAUAUAGCAAUUUAGGUGUGGCCAUUAGCAAAACUUUUCCAAAUUAAGCCUUUACUUAGUAACUGGCAUUUCUAGCUAGCCAAAUAUAGAUUGCGUGCCAUUAAAAAAUUCUUCAAAGGGCGGUGUGCCUUUUCACACUGACCUUAUCAAGGACGCGUCCCAUGCUGGUCGGCCGUGACUUUGGUGAUUAGGUCCGACAAGUCAAAUGAAUUUACUUAUGGGGUACGUCACCGCAUUUUUAGGCCUAUAAAUACAAGGACUCUGGUUCGUUAUUUUGAUGUGCUAAACUCAGGUUUUCGACAGUCACAACCAGUUACAAAUACCCAUUUUCAUUCAUAUUAAUUAGCUAGCUAGUUCUUCAAGGGAAAAAAUGGCUGAAGCCAAAUCUGCUACUGUCACUGACCAGGUGAAUAGUGAUUCUAUUGCCAAGCCAGACCUAGAUUUCCUUCUCUUUCAAGUUUGUGUGUGGUUUUGAGAAUCAACUCAUAAACAACUUGUAUUUCGAAAAGUAAUUGCAACGUUCUUGAAUUGUCGUAAGCAAUAUUUUACAUUUCUAGUUGUCUCCAUACAUAUGGGUAGGCGGUCUCUUGAAUUGUUUGAUUAAGCUUCUUCUGAGUGAUGUAGUUUCUUAUUAACUGAUCGGAUUUAGUCUUCUGAUUGUUUUGCGAUUUUCUUACUGGUUAAAAUGUUUGGGAUUUACAGAUCGACAUCAACUCAAUACAACCAGUGGCGCCGGCUGACCCUCACGUGGUCGAGAUCGGACAAUUUGUAGUGGAAAAAUUUCACCACGGCAAGCUGCUUUUCAUCGCCGUGCUUGGCGGAUUCACAUGGAAAUGUGAGGGAGGCAAGUACUACGCACUUAUCAUUCAAAAUCAGGAUUAUGAGGGCGCCACAUUUAUCCAUAAAGCACUCGUUGUUGAGGCCAAAGGUGAAACGAAACUCCUCUGGCACAGGAAUUAAUCAAGCACUACUAUUGAUCUGCUGAGGAUAAACGACUUUCUUUGGGUACUUAAAUUAUCUAGUGUCUAUGGUGUGGUUUUCACUUUUCAGUUUGUGCAUGGAUGAUGUACUGCUGCCAUGCAUACAUCUUUCCACUGUUGUACUAGUAUGUUAAAUAAGGUCCACUUAUACCAACAAAAUGCACCAUUCCGUCUAUUUGUAUCCUUGUAAUAACAUGUAAAAGAUGCACUUUUACGAACAAAAAUGUACCAUUAAAUGAAUAAAAACAAUCGUCUGUUUUUGAGUUUUAUCUA
rnacentral:lncRNA from 1 species